rnacentral:rRNA from 1 species
CAUGCAAGUCGAACGGGUUCAGUUUGGUAGCAAUACUGAAUUGAGCCAGUGGCGAACGGGUGCGUAACACGUGAGUCAUCUGCCUGAAAGUGGGGGAUAGCUCGCCGAAAGGCGAAUUAAUACCGCAUGUGCCCCGAAGCAAUUCGGGGUAAAGCCGGGGUAACCUGGCGUCUUCAGAGGAGCUCGCGGCCUAUCAGCUAGUUGGUGAGGUAAUAGCUUACCAAGGCUUCGACGGGUAGCUGGUCUGAGAGGACGACCAGCCACACUGGAACUGAGACACGGUCCAGACACCUACGGGUGGCAGCAGUCGAGAAUUUUUCUCAAUGGGGGAAACCCUGAAGGAGCGACGCCGCGUGGAGGAUGAAUGCUUUCGGGUUGUAAACUCCUGUCAUUUGGAAACAAAGCCUUACGUUAACUGCGUGGAGGCCUGAUAGUACCAGAAGAGGAAGAGACGGCUAACUCUGUGCCAGCAGCCGCGGUAAUACAGAGGUCUCAAGCGUUGUUCGGAUUCAUUGGGCGUAAAGGGCGCGUAGGCUGCGGGGCAAGUCGGGUGUGAAAUCUCAGAGCUCAACUCUGAAACUGCACUCGAUACUGCUUUGCUUGAGGACUGGAGAGGAGAUUGGAAUUCACGGUGUAGCA